UGGGGAAUAUUGCACAAUGGGCGCAAGCCUGAUGCAGCCAUGCCGCGUGUAUGAAGAAGGCCUUCGGGUUGUAAAGUACUUUCAGCGGGGAGGAAGGGAGUAAAGUUAAUACCUUUGCUCAUUGACGUUACCCGCAGAAGAAGCACCGGCUAACUCCGUGCCAGCAGCCGCGGUAAUACGGAGGGUGCAAGCGUUAAUCGGAAUUACUGGGCGUAAAGCGCACGCAGGCGGUUUGUUAAGUCAGAUGUGAAAUCCCCGGGCUCAACCUGGGAACUGCAUUCGAAACUGGCAGGCUUGAGUCUCGUAGAGGGGGGUAGAAUUCCAGGUGUAGCGAUGAAAUGCGUAGAGAUCUGGAGGAAUACCGGUGGCGAAGGCGGCCCCCUGGACGAAGACUGACGCUCAGGUGCGAAAGCGUGGGGAGCAAACAGG
rnacentral:rRNA from 1 species